rnacentral:rRNA from 1 species
CCUACGGGAGGCAGCAGUGGGGGAUAUUGCACAAUGGGGGAAACCCUGAUGCAGCGACGCCGCGUGGGUGAAGAAGCGCCUCGGCGCGUAAAGCCCUGUCAGCAGGGAAGAAAAUGACGGUACCUGACGAAGAAGCCCCGGCUAACUACGUGCCAGCAGCCGCGGUAAUACGUAGGGGGCAAGCGUUAUCCGGAUUUACUGGGUGUAAAGGGGGCGCAGACGGCGAUGCAAGCCUGGAGUGAAAGCCCGGGGCCGAACCCCGGGACUGCUCUUGAAACUGCGUUGCUGGAGUGCAGGAGGGGCAGGCGGAAUUCCUGGUGUAGCGGUGAAAUGCGUAGAUAUCAGGAGGAACACCGGUGGCGAAGGCGGCCUGCUGGACUGCAACUGACGUUGAGGCCCGAAAGCGUGGGGAGCAAACAGGAUUAGAUACCCCAGUAGUC